rnacentral:misc_RNA from 1 species
CCCGGGCCGACCAGCAGCAGC